rnacentral:rRNA from 1 species
UACGUAGGGGGCUAGCGUUGUCCGGAAUCAUUGGGCGUAAAGCGCGCGUAGGCGGCCAGAUAAGUCCGGUGUGAAAGUCGGGGGCUCAACCCUCGGAUGCCGGUGGAUACUGUCGGGCUUGAGUACGGAGGAGGCGAGUGGAAUUCCUGGUGUAGCGGUGAAAUGCGCAGAUAUCAGGAGGAACACCGGUGGCGAAGGCGGUUCUCUGGGCCUGUACUGACGCUGAGGAACGAAAGCGUGGGGAGCGAACAGG